GACGAACGCUGGCGGCGUGCUUAACACAUGCAAGUCGGGCGAUGAAGUUCUUUCGGGAAUGGAUUAGCGGCGGACGGGUGAGUAACACGUGGGUAACCUGCCUCAUAGAGGGGAAUAGCCUUCCGAAGGGAAGAUUAAUACAGCAUAAGAUUGUAGUUUCGCAUGAAACAGCAAUUAAAGGAGCAAUCCGCUAUGAGAUGGACACGCGUCGCAUGAGCUAGUUGGUGAGGUAACGGCUCACCAAGGCGACGAUGCGUAGCGGACCUGAGAGGGUGAACGGCCACAUUGGGACUGAGACACGGCCCAGACUCCUACGGGAGGCAGCAGUGGGGAAUAUUGCACAAUGGGGGAAACCCUGAUGCAGCAACGCCGCGUGAGUGAUGACGGUCUUCGGAUUGUAAAACUCUGUCUUCAGGGACGAUAAUGACGGUACCUGAGGAGGAAGCCACGGCUAACUACGUGCCAGCCGCCGCGGUAA
rnacentral:rRNA from 1 species